AGCAUUAGCCAGAAACCUCCACCACUGCACACACCUGGCACCCUGGAGUACUGCUGGUCCUCUGAUGGCCACGCAGCAGCAACACCUACUGUCCACAGCAGGAACGACGCCAUACAUCCUCAUAUGGAACCUUGUUUCUCCAAAGUGUUUAACGGCUGUCCUCUCGAGACUCACUUCCCUGCCUCCUGGAUCAACCCUCACACCAGAGGUAACCUUCUCUGGCCCUGACCCCACUGACCUUCCACAAGAUACCUAAGCUGAUUUGUUCCUUUCACACUGAUGGUAUUUCCAGUGUUUCCAAGUGUUCACUGUAAUUUCAUAUUUUAGAUUAAAAAUGUAAUAUAUAAUUUAAUAAUAUGUUGUUGUUGUAAUAAUAUGUUUGUAGGCAAUUAUGACUUCCUUUAAAACAAUAUUAUAUAAACACAAUGUUUGUGUCACACUACUUUUUCAAAGAAAUACGUUUCUGAACAAAAAGUACUUAAAGUGAAUGGUGUGAAUGAGUUACUGUACACUGACUUGAAAUGACUAAAAAUUACAUAUUUGCAUCAAAUGCAGUGUUGCAGUUAUUUAUUAAUCAUGUAAGAAUGAUAGUUGGAGAAACAGAUCAAUGUGAAAUCAAUGUAGUGGCCUGGUAGCUCAGUAGAUAGAGCAUUAGCCUGGGAUGUAGAAGACUGUAGGUUGCAGAAUGCAGAGUCCACAAACAGGAUCCUGGCAUACAAUGUGCAAGGAAGAUGCCAGGUGCCUCAGAAUGUAGUGCAGUCCCAGGUUUACUGCAUCGUCAGCCGACCUGUUUUUCCAUGUUUGUAGGCAAUUAUGACUUCCUUUAAAACAAUAUUAUAUGAACACAUAAACAAUGAAAUUGUUUAUGAACAAAAAGUGCUUAAAGUGAAUG